GUACAGCCUUUGUUGUGCACAUACUAAAAUUGGAACGAUACAGAGAAGCAAAGCAUGACUCCCUGUGCAAGGUUGGCAUGUCUAAUGGUGACGCAUUCACACUUAGU
ensembl:snRNA U6 U6 spliceosomal RNA